rnacentral:rRNA from 1 species
GACGAACGCUGGCGGCGUGCCUAAUACAUGCAAGUCGAGCGCAGGAAAUCGACGGAACCCUUCGGGGGGAAGUCGACGGAAUGAGCGGCGGACGGGUGAGUAACACGUAAAGAACCUGCCCUCAGGUCUGGGAUAACCACGAGAAAUCGGGGCUAAUACCGGAUGGGUCAUCGGACCGCAUGGCCCGAGGAUGAAAGGCGCUCCGGCGUCGCCUGGGGAGGGCUUGGAGGUGCAUUAGCUAGUUGGUGGGGUAAUGGCCCACCAAGGCGACGAUGCAUAGCCGACCUGAGAGGGUGAUCGGCCACACUGGGACUGAGACACGGCCCAGACUCCUACGGGAGGCAGCAGUAGGGAAUCUUCCACAAUGGACGAAAGUCUGAUGGAGCAACGCCGCGUGAACGAUGAAGGCCUUCGGGUCGUAAAGUUCUGUUGUAAGGGAAGAACAAGUGCCGCAGGCAAUGGCGGCACCUUGACGGUACCUUGCGAGAAAGCCACGGCUAACUACGUGCCAGCAGCCGCGGUAACAC